CCCAUCCCUAUUAAUAACCCAAUAGAGGCAGAGCAACUUUGAUGGAAUGCGACGAGUAUAGUGAAGAUAUAACUGUGCUAUAGAAGUCUUUCUUUAAAACAGAAGACCUAGGUGUUUUGUGCAUGCUCUAAUAAGCCACGUGGUUAGACUGUCGGACUAUAGAAUUCUUCAUUGUUAAAGGAGUCUGUUUACUAACAAGUACGUAAUUGCUCGACGGGUGACACAUUUGGCACUUUGAGGUCUACUACACCUUGUUCACUCGUCAAGGGGUUUUGUACUUGUUUGUAACGUGUAAAUCUCUCUCUAUAGAAGUCUUUCUCUAAUACAGGAGACCUAGGUGUUUUGUGUGUGCUCUAAUAAGCCACGUGGUUAGACUGUCGGAUUAUAGAAUUCUUCGUUAGAAAAGAAGUCUGUUUACUAACAAGUACGUAAUUGUUCGACGGGUGACACAUUUGGCACUUUGAGGUCUACUACACCUUGUUCACUUGUCAAGGGGUUUUGUACUUGUUUGUAACGUGUAAAUCUCUCUCUAUAGAAGUCUUUCUCUAAUACAGGAGACCUAGGUGUUUUGUGCGUGCUCUAAUAAGCCACGUGGUUAGACUGCCGGACUAUAGAAUUCUUCAUUAGAAAAGGAGUCUGUUUACUAACAAGUACAUAAUUGCUCGACGGGUGACACAUUUGGCACUUUGAGGUCUACUACACCUUGU
rnacentral:lncRNA from 1 species